CAUUUAACUUCAGGAUUCCUGCAUAUACCUUGGCUAUAGAGUUAAUUAUUACUUCCAAAUCUACAACAAAAAUCAUUGUACAAAUGUUUCUUUAACAACUGGAUGCAGGCCAUAAUGGCGGAGGGAAAACAAUUUGCACUUUGUGUUGGCAUUAUGAAGAUGUCAGCAGACAGCAUAGAGAAAGUUAACAAGGGAAUUGGUAUUGAGAACGUUCAUUAUCUGAAUGAUGGAUUGUGGCACAUGAAGACGUAUAAAUGAUGACAUCACCACCUGCAACGCCUGCCCCCACACCCCUCCCCCACAGAAAGUGCGGUGCUCGCAUGGGCUCCACGUCACCUGUUUACACCUAAGGACUUAGCUGUGUAACCUGCUGAAGGCUUUGAAUUAUUUGCCAUUAUGCACAAAUAAAUGAAAGAUCUUGCUUUAAA